rnacentral:rRNA from 1 species
GAUGAACGCUGGCGGCGUGCCUAAUACAUGCAAGUCGAGCGAACAGACGAGGAGCUUGCUCCUCUGACGUUAGCGGCGGACGGGUGAGUAACACGUGGAUAACCUACCUAUAAGACUGGGAUAACUUCGGGAAACCGGAGCUAAUACCGGAUAAUAUAUUGAACCGCAUGGUUCAAUAGUGAAAGACGGUUUUGCUGUCACUUAUAGAUGGAUCCGCGCCGCAUUAGCUAGUUGGUAAGGUAACGGCUUACCAAGGCAACGAUGCGUAGCCGACCUGAGAGGGUGAUCGGCCACACUGGAACUGAGACACGGUCCAGACUCCUACGGGAGGCAGCAGUAGGGAAUCUUCCGCAAUGGGCGAAAGCCUGACGGAGCAACGCCGCGUGGGUGAUGAAGGUCUUCGGAUCGUAAAGCUCUGUUAUUAGGGAAGAACAAAUGUGUAAGUAACUAUGGACGUCUUGACGGUACCUAAUCAAAAAGCCACGGCUAACUACGUG